GCAGAUUUACUUCGGUAAAGACGCUGGGGACGCGAGCGGCGGAUCGGUGAGUAACACGUGGGGAACCUGCCCCAUAGUCUAGGAUACCACUUGGAAACAGGUGCUAAUACCGGAUAAUAAAGCAGAUCGCAUGAUCAGCUAUAAAAGGCGGCGUAAGCUGUCGCUAUGGGAUGGCCCCGCGGUGCUUUAGCUAGUUGGUAAGGUAACGGCUUACCUAGGCAAUGAUGCAUAGCCGAGUUGAGAGACUGAACGGCCACAUUGGGACUGAGACACGGCCCAAACUCCUACGGGAGGCAGCAGUAGGGAAUCUUCCACAAUGGACGCAAGUCUGAUGGAGCAACGCCGCGUGACUGAAGAAGGUUUUCGGACGUAAAGCUCUGUUGUUGGUGAAGAAGGAUACAGGUAGUAACUGGCCUUUAUUUGACGGUAAUCAACCAGAAAGUCACGGCUAACUACGUGCCACCAGCCGCGGUAAUACGUAGGUGGCAAGCGUUGUCCGGAUUUAUUGGGCGUAAAGCGAGCGCAGGCGGAAGAAUAAGUCUGAUGUGAAAGCCCUCGGCUUAACCGACGAAUUGCAUCGGAAACUGUUUUUCUUGAGUGCAGAAGAGGAGAGUGGAACUCCAUGUGAGCGGUGGAAUGCGUAGAUAUAUGGAAGAACACCAGUGGCGAAGGCGGCUCUCUGGUCUGCAACUGACGCUGAGGCUCGAAAGCAUGGGUACCGAACAGGAUAAGAUACCCUGGUAGUCCAUGCCGUAAACGAUGAGUGCUAAGUGUUGGGAGGUUUCCGCCUCUCAGUGCUGCAGCUAACGCAUUAAGCACUCCGCCUCCGGAGUACGA
rnacentral:rRNA from 1 species